UUUUUUAUAGAGAUACAGAGACGAAUAUCACUAAACUACCCGCGUAAGACAUUCCAAAUUGUCAUCGAAUUCGUUUGUUAUGCGGAGUUCCGUAAACGCAAUCAUCAAAAUCUUGGCGAUUUUUCAACUGGGCUUUCGUUUCAUUUUCGAUUACAUUGUUGGGCGGAGAAUUUUUUUGCGGGGUGAGAAGAUGUUGGGAUGUGGAUGUUUCUCUUGGAGCAGAGUCUCCGAUCUCAUGCAACCCGAGUCCGAAUAUUUCUCUCUGCCCGAUCCAAUUCCGCAAUGGCCACCAGGUUCAGGAUUUGCUACCUCGAGAAUUACAUUAGGAGAAUUAGAGGUUUGCCAAAUAACUAAGUUUCAGUAUAUUUGGGGUUGCAAUCUGUCUAAGGAUGGGAAACAAGGUGUUAGCUUUUAUAAGCCAAUCGGAAUCCCAGACGGGUUUUUCUGUCUUGGUCACUACUGUCAAUCUAAUGAAAAGCCUUUACGGGGAUUUGUUCUUGUUGCUCGUGAAGCUGCUAAGCAACAAGACUGCUGCACCCUCAAGUCCGAAAAUAUGCCUGCUCUCCAGAAUCCUGUGGAUUAUUCAUUAGUGUGGAGUUCACAUGACGGCAUUGAUGAAAGCUUUGAUGGAUGCGGUUACUUCUGGUUACCCCAACCACCAGAGGGUUAUAAAGCUUUAGGAUUUUUGGUUACCAACAAAUCGGAGAAACCAGAUUUGGAGGAGGUUAAAUGUGUCCGUGCUGACCUAACUUGUACAUGUGAAGCUUGUGGACUGAUAGCAGACACACAUUCUAAGUCGUCUAACAUACCACUUUUAAUUUGGGGUACGAGGCCUCUUCAUCGUGGCAUUUAUGGGAGAGGUGUUUCCGUGGGUACUUUUUAUUGCAGCAGCUACUGGAAUACACGGGAAGAGGUCAAUAUUGCAUGCUUGCAGAAUUUGGAUCUUAAUUUACGUGCAAUGCCCAACAUGGAUCAAAUUCAUGCACUUGUAAGGCAUUAUGGACCUACUGUCUUCUUCCAUCCUGAUGAGGUUUAUCUGCCAUCUUCUGUUUCAUGGUUCUUUAGAAAUGGUGCACUGUUGUAUAGUAGAAGUAACUCUGUUGGACAGGCCAUUGAUGCUGAAGGUUCCAAUCUCCCCAGUGGAGGCACAAACGACAGAGAAUAUUGGAUAGAUUUGCCCUGUGAUAGUGCGAGGGAGAAUGUUAAGCACGGAAACUUAGAAAGUGCAAAACUUUACCUUCAUAUUAAACCAGCUUUAGGUGGGACCUUUACAGAUAUUGCGAUGUGGGUCUUUUGCCCUUUCAAUGGGCCAGGCACGCUGAAGGUCGGGAUGAUGAACAUUGCUCUUAGCAAGGUUGGUCAGCAUGUUGGUGACUGGGAGCACUUCACUCUUCGGAUAAGUAACUUCACUGGAGAGCUUUGGAGCAUAUACUUUUCGCAGCACAGUGGAGGUGAAUGGGUCGAUGCUUUUGAUUUGGAGUUUAUCGAGGGAAACAAAGCUGUAAUUUAUUCGUCAAAGAAUGGUCAUGCUAGCUUUCCUCAUCCUGGAACCUACAUUCAGGGUUCUUCAAAGCUUGGGAUUGGAGUGAGGAAUGAUGCUGCACGCAGUGAUCAUAUUGUUGAUUCAAGCAGGCAGUAUGAAAUUGUUGCGGCAGAAUACCUUGGAGAUGGAGUUGUCAAAGAACCCGGUUGGUUACAGUAUAUGAGAGAGUGGGGCCCGAAAAUCAUCUACGAUUCAAGGAAGGAGUUGGACAAAAUCAUAAAAGUUUUCCCUCCACCGGUUAAAUAUUCAAUGGAGAAUAUUUGUAACAAGUUGCCACUGGAGUUGUAUGGAGAAGAAGGUCCUAGUGGGCCAAAGGAGAAGAACAACUGGAUUGGGGAUGAAAGAUGGUAGCCCUUAUGAAGCUCCUUGACCUCCUGCUCUUUCUGCAACUGUUUUUUCACGACAUGAACAAAAGUUGAAAACAAACGAGAAUGUGUUGUAACUUGUGUAAAAUCCGACAGAGUAAACCCCCAUCAGGAGCAACAGGGGGCCAAGAUAUCCUGGAUACAGGGAAGGACAAGACUUGAGAAACAAUAUUCACAACUGCUUCCAUGUGAACAUAGUCCCUGAUGUAAAUAGAAUUCAUAGUGUAGUUCAUGAGAAUGAGAUUCUUGGCCUCUUGUACCAGAUACGGGGACUCGCUAACAAGUGUAGAAUGUUUGAGAACAUUAGAGUAUAGACUUGCAUUCAAACUCCUCUACCAUGGAGCUGUAAAUUAUCUUCUGAUUCUUUUAGGUUGUUGGAAGAUGUCCUCCAUGACGAAGAGAUGGAAGGCUGGAUUUGUUGUAAACAAUUUGAGCUCCUAAGUUGUAUAUAACAGGGGCAACUGCAAGAGGCCUGAUGCGGGGAAAACGUCCUCAUCAUCUCAUUGCUGUUGGGAACUAAAACUCAUCUCCCAUCAUCGUUCUUUGAGGUAAUGGACGUUCUUUAUGGUUAUUACUAUACUUCAAAUUGCUUGUGAAAAGGAUGUUAUUUUCUUCACUGGUGAUCACCAACUACAAUCUUGUCAAAUAGCUACUUCUUGAUGAUGUGCAUGUGUAGUUCAUUUGUUCGGCCACACAAUCUUAGCGAUGGUACAGACAAGAUAGCAAAAAAACCAGCAACCACGGGGGAGGACGUGUAGUUGUUGAAUCUUUGUCUGUUGAAUCAAGGAGGGGUGCCUGCCACCAGCCACAUCCGAUGAAUUACACAUUGGACCUAUCGAUGGAUAAUUCUUACUAUGCUCAAUUAGGGAUGGCAAAUGGAAUGGAUAGUGGUAGCUGUGAGCCCCCACCCUGUUGGGGUCCAAAUUAUGAAGUUCAGGUUCAUGGACGAAGUUUAUUUUACGGAACUGGUUGGGUCCGGUCCGGUCCGAGUCUCCAAUCUUUCCCAAGACCCCCUACAGAACAUAUCUUUUAAUAU